rnacentral:rRNA from 1 species
GAUGAACGCUGGCUACAGGCUUAACACAUGCAAGUCGAGGGGAAACGACGGGGAAGCUUGCUUCCCCGGGCGUCGACCGGCGCACGGGUGAGUAACGCGUAUCCAACCUGCCUCUGACUGAGGGAUAACCCGUCGAAAGUCGGCCUAAUACCUCAUGGUAUCGUCUGCGGGCAUCCAACGACGAUUAAAGAUUUCAUCGGUCAGGGAUGGGGAUGCGUCUGAUUAGCUUGUUGGCGGGGUAACGGCCCACCAAGGCUACGAUCAGUAGGGGUUCGGAGAGGAAGGUCCCCCACAUUGGAACGGAGACACGGUCCAAACUCCUACGGGAGGCAGCGGUGAGGAAUAUUGGUCAAUGGGCGAGAGCCUGAACCAGCCAAGUAGCGUGCAGGAAGACGGCCGUAGGGGUUGUAAACUGCUUUUAUGCGGGGAUAAAGUGAGGGACGGGUCCCUCAUUGCAGGUACCGCAUGAAUAAGGACCGGCUAAUUCCGUG